ensembl:lncRNA
CUGAGAAACUCCGUCGAGCGGGUUUUUUUCUCCUGGAUAUUGCGGAUAAUCCUGUCGUGCUGCGGGUGGUGGAUGGUGAUGUCAACUCACCUGGAUACUGAUCCCGUGGACCAGAGGAGUGGUGGGAGAGGAACCACGUGGGAUUGAGCUAAGGAUAAUCCAUUUUAUUUUAUUUUGUUUUAUUUUAUUUUAUUUGCACCCCCCCAGAUCCUGAGAUCUCAGGUUGUAGAAACUUUGGCAGAAACUGAAUCUGUGGAAAGAAAACACUGUUCAUUUCAUUUCAAUGUAUUUUUUUGGAGUUGUAAAUCUGUCAAGUUAUUUUGUUACCAGAAUUUGCAUUAAGAGAAAAGCAGAUAUCUUUUAUACGUAUACAUUUCCUUCUUUUUCAUAAGUCGGUGGUCGUGUGUGGGCUGGGGGUCUUACUGCACUUCGCAGAGCCAGCUUUGCCCGGGGCCGCAAGCGUUGCUGCUGUAAAAAUACUGACAGGCACGCCAAAUGUUUAUUAAUUUACAAGUCAAAAAAUUUGUUCCCAACUAAUACAAUAAACACUCCUGUUUGAGUAACACGUGCUAAAAUCUCCAGCGGCCCCGUGGUUGUAAUUUAAAACCCAUUUGACCCAUUUCAAUGUCCAUCUAAGGAUCUAACAGAGGGACUCGGGGAGGGUCAUGGGCAGGUUAGGGGAGUCGGAAAAAAGUGUUGAGAGAUGGACACAGAGAAAAAAUAAAGAGCACCAAAUCAGUCCUUUUAAUCUCCAGUUCUGCCACGAUGAACUAACAUGAGAAUAUGUGUGUCUCCUGCUUAGUUUUCACGACAUAAGCAGCUGUGGGGCUUUUAUGGAAAAAUGUCCCCACUUUUCCGACCUUCCCCCAGGAGGCAGGAUACCUGGUUGAGUGAGACUGCCUUCCUGACUGAGAGCACCACUCAAAGAAUCCAGACUGUGGCUCCAAUCCAGUUGCCCUCUUUAAUAGAUUCACAGUGUUAUAUUAGAAGUAAGAAGAUUGAGGCUGCGGUCACAGCGGUAUUUCAACUUGAAUGGCACUCAGUAAAGCACAUAUGCCUCUGCCAAGGCCCAACAGUCCCUCAAUCAAGUCGCACCAAAUUGCACACACUCAUAAAAAUCAGUCUCUUGAAUAUUGCCAGAUUUUGUUUCCCCCAUCAAGAUCCCUGGGAAAUUGGUGAAAAUGUACAAUAAAAAUCAGCACAAAAAUGUAAUGUUUUUAUUUCUUGGCCCAUGUCCCAUCAAGUUUCGUGGAAAUCUUUUCAGUUGUUUUUGCAUCGAACAAACGGGAAAACAAGGGCGGCAACCUCCUCAGUUGACGUGAUAACAAGAAAUUUCUGCCUGACAUAAUCACUUAAUUUGGACGGAAUAGUGGCAAUCGGUUGAUUUGUUCCAUCGGUCAUUACAAUCCUUCUUGAAAGUGCUGAAAAAGAAGAAAGAAAAAAAUAAAUAAAGGAAGGAAGGAAGCCAUCGUACCAGCACUAAAACAUCUUUUUUUUUAGGAGAUCGUGUGUUUUAUAAUCCACCCACCUUCGUAUUCUUGCUCUGGUUUAAUGUUGUAUGUAAUGUUGCACUAUUCUUUUCUUCCUGGUCCAUGAGAAACAACAUUUCAUGCAGCCGUUCACUUUGUGUGAGGAUGAAUGACAGUGAAGUUAACUUGACUUUAGUUGAAGGGUUUGAGUUUGAAAAUAGAGUAGAACCCCCGUAAAUAGUCAGCGUGUCACCGACAAGCAGCACCACGAGGAUGGACUAAUGAACUUUCUGGUUUGCUAUACUUAAGAGCGCUGGCAUCAUAAUUUAAACACAUUCACGACAAAGCAAUCGAUCAGAGAUGCACCAAAAAGAAACGAAACAAAAUUGAUAACAAAAUCAAAAGAUUAAAAGACGAAUUUGCUACUGGCCCCAGAUGAAUAGCGCUCACAAACUUUGUUCCACGACCGCUGUAGUAAA